UUGAUCCCUAAAAUUUAAGGAUUGAUUAUAGGAUUGAUCCCUAGAUUGGGAGGAUGUUUCCUAGAUCGAUCCCAGGGUUGUAGAAACCCUAAGGAUCAAUCAAAUAUUUUUAAGGAUAGAUCCUUAUGCACUAGAAACUCGAUUUUGACGUUUAAAAACCAUAAAAAUCGACCAUUAACUCGUUUUUAGCCCUAAGCACCAUAGGAGAAACCAUUUGCCCGAUUUCUCAGUCUCUAAGGGUGUUAGGAUGAAGAAGAGAGGAGAGAAGAGCUCAAAAACUAGUGACUUUUGUCAGUCCCAAAUGAAAAAAACUGUCUAUUUCAACCAUUUUUCUCAAGGUAAAACCUAUAACACUCAAAGUUAAUUAGUGUGGAGGCACUGUGAGUAGCACUGAGACUUAAGUAUUUGAAUUAUUUAAUUUUGGGUGUGUUACUUUAGAGCCCACACUCUUGGUCUCAUAAUCAGAAUUGAGGAGAAGGUUUAUAGGUCUGAAAACUCUAAGCUUGACAUGUGGAUUGAGUUUGGAGCAAGAGGAAUCAAAUCAACCCGAUCACUAAGCCUAACCGAUUUCAGUUUGCAGGCAGUACAAGUAACACUCAAAGUUAAGUAUUUUAAUUAUUUAAUUUUGGGGUGUUAAUUUUGGGCGUCUCAUAAUCAGAAUUGAGGAGAAGGUUUAGAGGUCUCAAAAUUCUAAGCUACUCAUGUGAAUUGAGUUUGGAGCAAGAGGAAUCAAAUUAGCCCCAUCACUAAGCCUAACCGAUUUCAGAUGAUCAAGUUGUAGACAUCUUUACCAAAAAUCUCACCACUACUCGCUUUAUUGAGUUAAGAGACAAGCUCUUGCUAUGUUCUCCUUCCAUUAACUUGCGGUGGGUGUUAGUCUAGAUGAUUAUACACCUCCCAUAAAUGCUAAUAGAUUCUUCCCCAUACAUAGAAUCAUAAUCCAGCUCAUAUUUGAUCACAUCUACAAGAAAACAACAAUUACGUCAUACUCGGGACAACGAGAACCAACUACACAAGGCAAUUCUCAUAUGUAAAAUAUUUGUAGUAAUUGUAAUCUCAUAAUUCAUGAGAUCUCUAUUCUCUUGUUUUUUUAAUCAUGGUAAUCCCAUUACUCGGGGAUUUUUAUUCUCUUGUUUUUUUAAUCAUGGUAAUCCCAUUACUCGGGGAUUUUUAUUCUCUUUGUACGAAGGGACGGAGUCGGGAAGUUUUAUGGGAGGGGAUCAAAGAAUUUUUUUUUU